UAAGGGCGCACGGUGGAUGCCUUGGCACUAGAAGCCGAUGAAGGACGUUACUAACGACGAUAUGCUUUGGGGAGCUGUAAGUAAGCUUUGAUCCAGAGAUUUCCGAAUGGGGAAACCCAGCAUGAGUUAUGUCAUGUUAUCGAUAUGUGAAUACAUAGCAUAUCAGAAGGCACACCCGGAGAACUGAAACAUCUUAGUACCCGGAGGAAGAGAAAGAAAAUUCGAUUCCCUUAGUAGCGGCGAGCGAAACGGGAAGAGCCCAAACCAACAAGCUUGCUUGUUGGGGUUGUAGGACACUCUAUACGGAGUUACAAAGGACGACAUUAGACGAAUCAUCUGGAAAGAUGAAUCAAAGAAGGUAAUAAUCCUGUAGUCGAAAAUGUUGUCUCUCUUGAGUGGAUCCUGAGUACGACGGAGCACGUGAAAUUCCGUCGGAAUCUGGGAGGACCAUCUCCUAAGGCUAAAUACUCUCUAGUGACCGAUAGUGAACCAGUACCGUGAGGGAAAGGUGAAAAGCACCCCGGAAGGGGAGUGAAAUAGAACCUGAAACCGUGUGCUUACAAGUAGUCAGAGCCCGUUAAUGGGUGAUGGCGUGCCUUUUGUAGAAUGAACCGGCGAGUUACGAUUUGAUGCAAGGUUAAGCAGUAAAUGUGGAGCCGUAGCGAAAGCGAGUCUGAAUAGGGCGUUUAGUAUUUGGUCGUAGACCCGAAACCAGGUGAUCUACCCUUGGUCAGGUUGAAGUUCAGGUAACACUGAAUGGAGGACCGAACCGACUUACGUUGAAAAGUGAGCGGAUGAACUGAGGGUAGCGGAGAAAUUCCAAUCGAACCUGGAGAUAGCUGGUUCUCUCCGAAAUAGCUUUAGGGCUAGCCUCAAGUGAUGAUUAUUGGAGGUAGAGCACUGUUUGGACGAGGGGCCCCUCUCGGGUUACCGAAUUCAGACAAACUCCGAAUGCCAAUUAAUUUAACUUGGGAGUCAGAACAUGGGUGAUAAGGUCCGUGUUCGAAAGGGAAACAGCCCAGACCACCAGCUAAGGUCCCAAAAUAUAUGUUAAGUGGAAAAGGAUGUGGCGUUGCCCAGACAACUAGGAUGUUGGCUUAGAAGCAGCCAUCAUUUAAAGAGUGCGUAAUAGCUCACUAGUCGAGUGACACUGCGCCGAAAAUGUACCGGGGCUAAACAUAUUACCGAAGCUGUGGAUUGUCCUUUGGACAAUGGUAGGAGAGCGUUCUAAGGGCGUUGAAGCAUGAUCGUAAGGACAUGUGGAGCGCUUAGAAGUGAGAAUGCCGGUGUGAGUAGCGAAAGACGGGUGAGAAUCCCGUCCACCGAUUGACUAAGGUUUCCAGAGGAAGGCUCGUCCGCUCUGGGUUAGUCGGGUCCUAAGCUGAGGCCGACAGGCGUAGGCGAUGGAUAACAGGUUGAUAUUCCUGUACCACCUAUAAUCGUUUUAAUCGAUGGGGGGACGCAGUAGGAUAGGCGAAGCGUGCGAUUGGAUUGCACGUCUAAGCAGUAAGGCUGAGUAUUAGGCAAAUCCGGUACUCGUUAAGGCUGAGCUGUGAUGGGGAGAAGACAUUG
rnacentral:rRNA from 1 species